rnacentral:rRNA from 1 species
CCUACGGGAGGCAGCAGUGGGGAAUUUUGGACAAUGGGGGAAACCCUGAUCCAGCCAUGCCGCGUGAGUGAAGAAGGCCUUCGGGUUGUAAAGCUCUUUCGGCCGGGACGAAAUCGCACGGGUGAAUAUCGCGUGUGGAUGACGGUACCGGUAGAAGAAGGACCGGCUAACUACGUGCCAGCAGCCGCGGUAAUACGUAGGGUCCGAGCGUUAAUCGGAAUUACUGGGCGUAAAGCGUGCGCAGGUGGUUUUGUAAGCCAGAUGUGAAAUCCCCGGGCUUAACCUGGGAACUGCAUUUGGGACUGCAAGGCUAGAGUACGGCAGAGGGGGGUAGAAUUCCUGGUGUAGCAGUGAAAUGCGUAGAUAUCAGGAGGAAUACCGAUGGCGAAGGCAGCCCCCUGGGUCGAUACUGACGCUCAUGCACGAAAGCGUGGGGAGCAAACAGGAUUAGAUACCCUGGUAGUCCACGCCCUAAACGAUGUCAACUAGUUGUUGGGAGCCUUACCGCUCUUAGUAACGCAGCUAACGCGUGAAGUUGACCGCCUGGGGGAGGUACGUCGCAGAUAAACUACAAGAAGUAGACGCGNGAGACGUGCGACGACGACGACGAGGGAGUAGG